UCAAUUUUACCCCUGAAAAUGUAUGAGGAUAGCACACUCGGUCUUCAUUCUUCCCGCAAGCAUAAAAAUUCUCCAAAUUCUCUCAUCGGCGCCGCUCCGCUCAUUCCGACGUCGCUCCACCCAGUCCAUCGUCUACCUUUCCACCUGCUUCGGUUAUCGAGUGCUCGCAGGUCGGGUUCACGAGUCAUCUCGUCUAUCUCUCAUUGUCUUAGCCUCGGUUGUCGCUCCAGCCAGCUCCGCCGUCUGCCUCGCCACGCAAUUGCUGAAUAUAACUGAUGGGAUAUAACAAUGAUCGUCUCAGAUAGUAUUGAAAUAUAUUUUGUGUGCCGGUGGAAAAUCUCACUCGGAAGGCUCAACUUCAGGAAGUAGAGAUAGAAAGAAAAACCACAUAGCUGAAGGAGGCAAUAGCAAUUGCAGGGGAAGAGACUGCGAAGUGUAAAUCUGCAAAAGAAGUCAUAAAAUCACUUACAGCUCAAGUAAGAAAAAUAAUUAUGUAUAAAAAUCUAGAUGUCAAUUUAGAUGACAAAGUUUCUUUUAGUUGUAUAAGCCUCCCAGAUGUGGAUGAAAGUCCAGUUCUUGCUCUUUUGAAAUAAUCUUUAAAGUUCUCAUUGAUGAA